rnacentral:rRNA from 1 species
CGGCGGACGGGUGAGUAACGCGUGGGUAACCUACCUCAUACAGGGGGAUAAUAGUUGGAAACGGCUGCUAAUACCGCAUAAGCGCACAGUACCGCAUGGUACGGUGUGAAAAACUCCGGUGGUAUGAGAUGGACCCGCGUCUGAUUAGGUAGUUGGUGGGGUAACGGCCUACCAAGCCGACGAUCAGUAGCCGACCUGAGAGGGUGACCGGCCACAUUGGGACUGAGACACGGCCCAA